UACGUAGGGUGCGAGCGUUGUCCGGAAUUAUUGGGCGUAAAGAGCACGUAGGCGGUUGAGCAAGUCCAUUGUGAAAUCCCCCGGCCUAACCGGGGAACUGCAUUGGAUACUACUUGACUUGAGUGCAGGAGGGGAGAGUGGAAUUCCAGGUGGAGCGGUGAAAUGCGCAGAUAUCAGGAAGAACACCCGUGGCUAAGGCGGCUCUCUAGUACGGUACUGACGCUGAGACGCGAAAGCGUGGGGAGCGAACAGG
rnacentral:rRNA from 1 species